UAGCACUUUCAAUUUAUCUUCUUUUCCUUUCACACAACCGCCCCCUCCCCUACAACCCUUUCAAUUUUCAUUCACAGACACAGCCGCCCCCUCCGAUCACCUCUACUCCCAUUAACAGCCGCCCCGCCCCCUCCCAUUAACAAUCGCCUCCUCUUCACCAGUCAACGAGCUUAGGCUAUUUUCGAACGACCAUUCUUUGAACCUCGAAAGAAACCGCCGUGCGUGUGAGGUGGCGAAACUGUUACCGCUUCCAGAGCUUCUUCAACCUAUUGCUUGUAUCAAAGCCGAUUACAUCGCUCAGGUGGACGAAAGAACACAAUCUGGAAAGGAAAUUGGAAUCGGUGUCCCUGUCUCAGAUUCUCAGAAGACGAUCAAUCGCAAACAAUGGAAAAUCUUCAAAAUCAAAGUGUUUCAUCCACUGGCACUACCCUAACAUAUUGGCUUGGAGUUUUAUUAUAAUGUUAUUUGUUGUUUUUUUUUUAAGCCCUUUGAAGGCAUUGGUUUGUAAUUUAGAUUAAUUUGGAUUUUAACUUAUUGAUGUGUGAUUGUGUGUUAUUUAAA